rnacentral:tRNA from 1 species
AAUUAGAAAGUGAAAUAUUUACGUUCAGUUUCGGCCUGAAUUUUGACUAAUUAGUCUCUAAUUU